UGGGGAAUCUUGCACAAUGGGGGCAACCCUGAUGCAGCGACGCCGCGUGAGCGAUGAAGCCCUUCGGGGCGUAAAGCUCUUUCGACCGGAACGAUAAUGACGGUACCGGGAGAAGAAGCUGCGGCUAACUACGUGCCAGCAGCCGCGGUAAUACGUAGGCAGCAAGCGUUGUUCGGAGUUACUGGGCGUAAAGAGUGCGUAGGCGGUUUUCUAAGUUCGGUGUGAAAUCUCCCGGCUUAACUGGGAGGGCGCGCCGAAGACUGGGAAGCUGGAGUGGGGGAAAGGCAGGCGGAAUUCCUGGUGUAGCGGUGAAAUGCGUAGAUAUCAGGAGGAACACCGGCGGUGUAGACGGCUUGCUAGACCAUAACUGACGCUGAGGCACGAAAGCGUGGGUAGCAAACA
rnacentral:rRNA from 1 species